rnacentral:rRNA from 1 species
AGUGAACGCUGGCGGCAGGCCUAACACAUGCAAGUCGAACGGCAGCACAAGAGAGCUUGCUCUCUGGGUGGCGAGUGGCGGACGGGUGAGGAAUGCAUCGGAAUCUGCCCAUUUGUGGGGGAUAACCUCGGGAAACCGGGACUAAUACCGCAUACGACCUACGGGUGAAAGCAGGGGAUCUUCGGACCUUGCGCAGAUGGAUGAGCCGAUGCCGGAUUAGCUAGUUGGAGGGGUAAAGGCCCACCAAGGCGACGAUCCGUAGCUGGUCUGAGAGGAUGAUCAGCCACACUGGGACUGAGACACGGCCCAGACUCCUACGGGAGGCAGCAGUGGGGAAUAUUGGACAAUGGGCGCAAGUCUGAUCCAGCCAUGCCGCGUGUGUGAAGAAGGCCUUCGGGUUGUAAAGCACUUUUGUUGGGAAAGAAAAGCAGCCGGUUAAUACCCGGUUGUCAUGACGGUACCCAAAGAAUAAGCACCGGCUAACUUCGUG